UGGUGUUGUAGUGUGGUGUAGUGUAAUGUAGUGGUGUAGUGUGGUGUGGUGUAGUGUAGUGUAGUGUAAUGUAGUGGUGUAGUGUGGUGUGGUGUAGUGUAGUGUAGUGGUGUAGUGUGGUGUAGUGUAGUGUAGUGGAGUGUAGUGUAAUGUAGUGGUGUAGUGUGGUGUGGUGUUGUGUGGUGUGGUGUGGUGUAGUGUAGUGUAGUGUAGUGUAGUGUAGUGUAAUGUAGUGGUGUAGUGUGGUGUGGUGUAGUGUAGUGUAGUGUAAUGUAGUGGUGUAGUGUAGUGUAGUGUGGUGUAGUGUAGUGUAAUGUAGUGGUGUAGUGUGGUUUAGUGUGGUGUGGUGGGGUGUGGUGUAAUGUGGUGUGGUGUAGUGUGGUGUAAUGUAGUGGUGUAGUGUGGUGUAGUGUGGUGUGGUGUAGUGUGGUGUAGUGUGGUGUGGUGUAGUGUAGGGUAGUGUGGUGUAGUGUAGUGUAGGGUAGUGUGGUGUGGUGUGGUGUAGUGUAGUGGUGUAGUGUAGUGUGGUGGGGUGUAGUGUAGUGUGGUGUAGUGUAGUGUAGUGUGGUGUAGUGUAGUGUAGUGUGGUGUAGUGUAGUGUAAUGUAGUGGUGUAGUGUAGUGUGGUGUGGUGUGGUGUGGUGUAGUGUAGUGUGGUGUGGUGUAGUGUAGUGUAGGGUAGUGUGGUGUAGUGUAGUGUGGUGUGGUGUAGUGUAGUGUGGUGUGGUGUAGUAUAGGAUAGGGUAGUGUAAGGGUGUAGUGUGGUGUAUUGUAGUGUAGUGUGGUGUAGUGUAGAGUAGGGGUGUAGUGUAGUGUAGGAUAGGGUAGUGUGGUGUAGUGUGGUGUGGUGUAGUGUAGGAUACGGUAGUGUGGUGUGGUGUAGUAUAGGAUAGGGUAGUGUGGUGUAGUGUGGUGUAGUAUAGGAUAGGGUAGUGUGGUGUGGUGUGGUGUGGUGUAUGAUAGGGUAGUGUGGUGUAGUGUGGUGUAGUAUAGGAUAGGGUAGUGUGGUGUGGUGUAU
rnacentral:lncRNA from 1 species